UAGAAGGUGGAGUUGAGCAGCUCUUCCAGCCUGCGCGGGACGUCGUUCUCCUCGUAGUACCUCCUGGCCUGCUGCUUCAGCUUCUGCUGCUCCUUGGGGGUCCCGCAGCUGUGGCCGCCGCCUUCGUCCCCCAUGAUGAAAACAUCUGAGUCUCAGGGCUCAGCACCCCACCCAAGGGCACCUAGGAGUAGGGGAUGGAGAGUGUUGGUGUGUACGGCUUCUGUGGGUGUACAGCCAAGAACAAAAUGAAGUGCGAUUCAAGGUGGGAAAUAAGCGCCUCAGGCUAAACUAAGAAAUAAUUCUAAAGACUGGUGAACUGAAGAUAGAACAUGUGGAUGAUAACAGGGCCUCUGGUUGACGUCACUGAUAUGUUCCAGGGGCUUCAAGUGACAGCUGAUGAUUGCAGCGGUGACCCAGGGAAGGUGACCUUGUGCUCCACUGGACUUUAAACAUUUCGGCAAGGCAAAUUUGAUACUGUUUUAUCAUAGCUUAAGGCUUGUUGGUGACCCUUUCAGAUUCAGCUCUGGCUUCACUUUGAUCUUGAGGCCUCGCUCUGGUUCUGCCAACAUGCUGAAGGUUCUCUGGACAGCAGAGGCAAUUGAACAAACUCUAUUUUUAUCUUUCAGAAAGAAGUUCACAUGGCAUUUGUGUGCAAGUGCCCAUCGGACAUGGAAUGGACCACUAUUUUAUUUGCUCUCUAUGUGCACAAAACCCCUGUCUUAGAAUCAGAUCCCUAGAAUGUAAAUAACUGCCGAGGACUUUGGUGAUCCAGUCCUUUUUUAUUUUGUCCAAGCUUCACUUUAUUUUAUUUUACUUUAUUUCAUUGCAUUGUCACUAGAGUUAUCACUG